rnacentral:miRNA from 1 species
GUUCCCCAACCCAGUCCUCAUGGACCACCAACAGUCUAGAUUAUAUCAGCAUCUCCACUGGAAUAAAACAGGGAAAUACAUAAAUCCUGGGCUGUUGGUGGUCCACGAGGAAUGGGUUGGGGAA